UACGAAGGGGGCUAGCGUUGCUCGGAAUCACUGGGCGUAAAGGGUGCGUAGGCGGGUUUUUAAGUCAGGGGUGAAAUCCUGGAGCUCAACUCCAGAACUGCCUUUGAUACUGAAGAUCUUGAGUCCGGGAGAGGUGAGUGGAACUGCGAGUGUAGAGGUGAAAUUCGUAGAUAUUCGCAAGAACACCGGAGGCGAAGGCGGCUUGCUGGGCGUGAUCUGACGCUGAGGCGCGAAAGCGUGGGGAGCAAACAGG
rnacentral:rRNA from 1 species